UACGUAGGGUGCGAGCGUUAAUCGGAAUUACUGGGCGUAAAGCGUGCGCAGGCGGUUUUGUAAGCCAGAUGUGAAAUCCCCGGGCUUAACCUGGGAACUGCAUUUGGGGCUGCAAGGCUUGAGUACGGCAGAGGGGGGUAGAAUUCCUGGUGUAGCAGUGAAAUGCGUAGAUAUCAGGAGGAAUACCGAUGGCGAAGGCAGCCCCCUGGGUCGAUACUGACGCUCAUGCACGAAAGCGUGGGGAGCAAACAGG
rnacentral:rRNA from 1 species